GCUGGGCGUGGCGGUGGACGCCUGUAAUCCCAGCUACUUGGGAGGCUGAGGCAGAAGAAUUGCUUGAACCCUGGAGGCAGGGCUUGCAGUGAGCCAAGAUUGCGCCACUGCACUCCAGCCUGGGUGAUAGAGCGAGACUUUGUCUCAA
ensembl:misc_RNA Metazoa_SRP Metazoan signal recognition particle RNA